AUACAUCUAUUUGACAGGCCUGGAGCAGUUACUGUCUGCUACUCCUGUUUCCACUGCAGAUGCAAGAAGUCAUUCUCGCGCUUUCUGUCUGUCUGAUUGUGGCAGCCCAGAUUGAAUGGAGGAAUACAGGG
rnacentral:snoRNA from 1 species